rnacentral:lncRNA from 1 species
GGGAAGACCAAUAUUAGCAACAAGAAGCCUCUGCCACCAUGGAAGAAGGAUCUGGAAAGAAGGAUGGGAUCUCAGCCUGAUGGCAGGUCUUACCCAAGAGGGAAUUUUUUUCUCAGGAGAGUGAAGAAAGCCUGGCUUUCCUCAUCAGCUCUCUUUGUGUUGAAUUCAUCAGUCAUGACAAUCAUUUGAGAAACCUUAGAAGAUCAUCCCAAACCUGGAAAAAGUCAGUUACAUUAGGAAAGGAGUGAGCAUAAAGAGCACCUACUAGAGAGAGGGUCCUUUCACACACAUGACCUCAUGUAACCUUCACAAUCAUGCCAUGAGGAAUUUGAUUUCCUUAUGCCAGCUGCUUCCCCAGAGACAGUGACACCAACUCUUCUGGGUUGUUGAGAGGGUAAACAAACCGUGAUGAAUGAAUCUCCUCUCCUAAUAUGAAUGCCUUAUUGUUGUUAUUCUUCAUGCCCUGACAGAGUAUUUACAGCCUCUGCUGUUGCUCUGCUUCUAUCUGGUGGAUUAAGGAAAGUCACAACUCACAGCCCUAGUGGAAAGUUACAACUGGGAUUUGAGCUAACGAAGAGUUGAAGACUCAGCAACAGGCGCUUGGCUUCACUAUUAACCUGGACAAGGCCAUUAACUCGCCUGUACUUAAUUGGCUUGUUCUGUGACACACUGUUGCCCCAGAAACACCCAUAUGGGUGUACCCCACAUUAAAGAAGCCCGCUCUAUGAAAAC